ACGAUACGGGUGGACUCAAGCUCUUGCAAGUUGAAGAAGAAAAGAAAUCUAGUGAUCAAGAACAAGAUGGAAAAAGUACGAAAGUUUACUCUAUGGAUGAAAUUUGGAAAGAUAUUGAAUUAUUAGAAGAAAAUGAAGAAAAAAUGAAUAAACCAAUUAUGGGGUCCAUUUCACCCCUAUGGGAUUAUUCCCUAGACUCACUUUGGAAAGAUUUUGAUUGGAAUAACUUUCGAUAGGAACAUGACUUUGAAUUAGACGAGACAACAGAUUUCAUAUAUCAAAUGGUUAAAUUGAGGAACACAAAAAAACGAAUUGCUAGGAGGUUCAUUUAUUUGAAAAGAAAAAACAAAAACAAAAUUGUUAUAGUUUGUUAUAGGUUUUACAAGAAAAAUAUUAAGUUUUAACUUGUAUAUUACUAUAUUAGUAGUGGUGAAAAAAAUAAGAAAUGAUUAGAAGGUGCUAGACCUCUCUUAGUAGUGCUUUGGAAUUAAGUCUCUUAUUG
rnacentral:misc_RNA from 1 species